UACCAAUCUAUGGAGAACAACCGAGCAACGGCAGCAGGUGCAGACUCAAGAUCAGCAAGCUUUUCAAAUAAUGGAACAACCCUCAAUGGACUUUUUACAUGACAUUCACGCUGCAAAAGCUCAACGGCAAGCACAUCAGAGGGUGCCGUGGCCAUUGAAAUAAUAUAAGCACCAAAAUUAUCGGCGGGAAGUUCAGCAAUGACACUAAAGGUAUCCAAAACAUCAGCGAUUUCAUCAGUUUUAGGGAGAUCAGGUCCAAACAGUGGACGCUUUCCACUUAGUUCAGAUAAGAGCCAUUCUUGUCUCUGCUCUUCAGACCAUUCUUUAUAGGAUCCAAUACCCAGGUGCCUUGUUAUAGCAUCUAGAACGUCAGUGUGCCUAUCUGACUCUUGCCGGAUAUCAAGUCUCACAAGCGAGAGACCAAAGGUGGAAACUUGCCUUAGAAAAUCAAGAAGGCUGCCAUCUGCAAUUGGUCUGUCACCGCAAGCGCAUAGAGAUCUGUAGCACAGCUCCAGAGGUUCCAGGAACUGCAGGACAAGGACAACCAUAUUUUUCACAUAUUCAAAUGAUAGAGAAAUAGGCAUGCAUAUUAGCAGAUCUGAAUACCAAGAAUUAUGUCUAAACAUCUAAGAAAUGAGAACCAUGCUAUUUUGGUUAAUUCUAACAAAAUCGCAAAAUAACCUGUAGGACUUGGCUCACAAAUUCGGUGUUGUAGCAUAUGCUAGAACUUUGUCUUAAAAGCAAGAUGAAUAUUGUCAAACAACAAUUUCAAAAGUUCGCUUGAUUUCAUUUGCGUAUUAUCUUACAGAAAACAUUUAGCGCACAAAUUGUCUCAGUUUGAUACUUAGACAGCCAAAUCCACCUUCAAUUAAAAAUACUAAAAGUCACACAUAGAAAGUAUCAUUGACACACAUAUUGGAAAUAGAUAGGAUAUUUCUUCAGCAUUGGUAAAUUUGGAAGUUGAGCUAACAAGUUCUACAUUAUUGCAGAAGAGGUGGUCAGAAAUAAAAAGAGUUUCUGAAAAAUACCUGUUCAACAUUUGUGAAUGUUGACUCCUCAGAAACAUCAGAGUACCCAUUGGUUAGUAACUGACGCGCGCGUUCCCGUGUAUUGUAUAACUUAUCUCUCACAUCAGCAAGAAGAACACGGUAGGGCUC
rnacentral:lncRNA from 1 species